rnacentral:rRNA from 2 species
AGUACAACUCUCGGCAACGGAUAUCUCGGCUCUCGCAUCGAUGAAGAACGUAGCGAAAUGCGAUACUUGGUGUGAAUUGCAGAAUCCCGUGAACCAUCGAGUCUUUGAACGCAAGUUGCGCCCCAAGCCGUUAGGCCGAGGGCACGUCUGCCUGGGUGUCACGC